rnacentral:lncRNA from 1 species
CUCAAACUUCCUAGUGCUGCUUCUUUUUGCUCUAUUUGCCAUUCCUCAGGGUCUUGCCAAUUAUGAGAAGCCUCCGGUUUACCAACCACCGGUGUAUAAGCCACCAGUUGAGAAACCCCCGGUCUACAAACCCCCUGUAGAAAAGCCACCAGUAUAUAAGCCACCAGUAGAGAAGCCUCCAGUUUACAAACCACCGGUGUACAAGCCACCUGUGUACAAACCCCCAGUAGUGAAACCCCCAGUCUACAAACCUCCUGUUUACAAGCCACCGGUGUACAAGCCACCAGUUUACAAACCACCAGUAGAGAAGCCCCCAGUUUACAAGCCACCUGUAUACAAACCCCCAGUAGUGAAACCCCCAGUCUACAAACCUCCUGUUUACAAGCCACCAGUUGAGAAGCCUCCAGUUUACAAGCCACCAGUAGUGAAGCCACCUGUUUACAAGCCCCCAGUCUACAAGCCACCAGUAGUGAAGCCACCUGUAUACAAGCCUCCAGUCUACAAGCCACCCGUUUACAAGCCUCCAGUUGAGAAGCCUCCGGUCUACAAGCCACCUGUUUACAAGCCCCCAGUUGAGAAACCUCCAGUCUACAAGCCACCGGUUUACAAGCCUCCAGUCGAGAAGCCACCAGUUUACGGACCUCCUCACCACCCAUAGGACUCUCGGAUGCUUUUAAGUAAAUAAGUUAAAUAAGAGAUAUAUAAUGUUUCCAAAGCAAGGAUUAUAUAUUCUUGGAAUCUUCAUUUUAGUCUUUUGUUUACAAAUCCUAUUACCAAGAUAAGAAUGUGAAAGAAAAUGGUGCAUUUGUACUCCAAGUUAUGAAUAAGAACGUUGUGAUUUAGCACUUUUUAAUUUGUGUUGGUUGACUAAAUUGGACAUAGUAUAUAUAUACUCUACUUAAUACUCUGUCAUAUCAGUAAGGUGCAUGAAAGUUCAAUUUUCUGUAGUAGACAUAACGAAUAAUUAAUUUAUGUUUGAAUCUAGAAUUUACUAAACUUCACGUACUUGGAAUUUCAUUGCAUUAUAGCUUGACUCAGUAGUAGCUUUAGUGAAAAAUGAUUUUGGUGCUUAAAAUUUUAAGAGUUGGAGUUUGGACAAAUUAUACACUCAUAUAAUUUAGUUAUCUUUUCAAAUUUACAAUUACAAUUUUCAAGGUUCUAUAUUUGUGUUGAUGCACCAAUUAAGAGAAUGAUCAAGAAAAUUAGGUUUUUAAUUGGUUUUUAUCGAUGAUUUCUGAAGAUAUAUUUCGGCAGAUGAACUAAUCCUUCAAUUUAAGAGAUUAAAUUGCCAUUUUACAAAUUUCAAUGAUUAUAUUAUUACCUAAUCUUAAAUAUAAUUUUUAGGGCUAAAACGAUGAUUCACUCAAUAUAUAUUGUGAUUUCUUAUUUUUUUUAUGAUAUAAAGAUAGCUGAAGUUGUGUGAUAUACAAAGUUAUAUUUCCUUUGGAAGAUAAGAGUCCCCCACCAUAUUGACAUGAAAGUGAACGUGGGAAAAUAUGUGCAAUUAAGGUUCCAAAUAUUAAACAAUAGCCACAAUAAUUGUCUAUAACUCAUAACAAAUAUAAGAACUUGAUAAGAAAAAUAAUAAAUAUAAGAACAUGAGCAGGCCAUAGUUUUUUAGCCCGAGAAGCUUCAUCUUCUUUUUAAGUCUAACAUUUUUUAAUCUUCAUUCAAAGAAGAUUGGUGAUUUUGGGAUAUUUUUAUAAGAUAGGUAAAUAAUGAAAUUUGUGUUGUACUCGAAGAAAUCUACCACACGAUUUGAAUGAAUAUAUUACUUUUAGUCAAAAUAAAUUAAAAUAAAGAAUGUAACAUUUCAAACUCACUCACAUAUAAAGAAUGAAUUUACAAUCUUUAAAACACAAAUAUUUAAUCCUUAAAUCUAACACCUCUCUUAGUUUUAGCGAAAUGAACUUUGUGUUGUACUCGAAGAAAUCUACCACACAAUUUGAAUGAAUAUAUUACUUUUAGUCAAAAUAAAUUAAAAUAAAGAAUGUAAAAUUUCAAACUCACAUAAAAAGAAUGAAUUUACAAUCUUUAAAACACAAAUAUUUAAUCCUUAAAACUAACACCUCUCUUACAUUUAUUUUGUUUACGUACCUUUAUUUUGUUUUCAAAUACUUAUAUUUAGUUGAAUUCCUUCAUUAUACUCUUUUUAAUGAAUUUUCUGAACAAAAUAAAAUUGUGUUACUCAGUCACUCAAAUUAGAGUGGAUAGAGCAAUGAAAAUAUUUAUUACUAUGUAGUUUAUAGUUGGAGUGAUCGGAUAGUCUAGUGGGAUCUUAGCCACUCUCGUUUGACUCACUUGGAGCAUGUCAAAAAUAUUUUUUUGAAAAUGAACGAUGGAGAUUUACUUUGCACUAGGUCCAGUGAAAAAGAUAUGGGAGAUAAUCCCAAUCUUAGCUUAUUGGGUAGGCCAGUGUUGAGAAUGGAUUCUCUCAAAUGUAAUUAUCUCACUAGUCUAAUUACCAACACAAUCAAAGAGAAAAAAUAGUGGGAUGUAAGUAAAAAAUCCAUAUUCUACUUACUCAAUCAUCUAUACAAGCUACUUUAAUUAUCUAGUCGAACGUUACGAGCGUUACAAGAGAAAUCAGAAUAUCGAUGAUCAAAAUCCUUCAAAGCAAAAGAUGUUGUUGUGUGCAAGUGUGAGUUAUAUGCCCCACAUCGGAUAAAAGAGUAAAGGUUGAACACCUUAUAAGUAAGAGGACCAUAAACCCAAAGCCUUAAGGUUUUGGGUAAGAGUGUGGUGUCUCCCUUGCUUGUCUGGUUGUUCUAGCCUCGAUGUGGACGCUCCCCCAAGCUCCCCUCGCUGACCCAACAGUGGUAUCAGAACCCCGGUUCGAUGAAGGGUACGACUGAGGCCGCCUGUCAGUUGUGCAGAAAGCAGCAACGACGGUACAAGCAACAAGUGGCUUCUUGUGCAGCAACGGCUAUACAUGCAAAGUAAAAAGCUUCCACGCGGUACAAGCAACAAGUGGCUUCUUGUGCAGCAAUGGCUAUACAUGCAAAGUAAAAAGCUUCCACUCUAGGGGAGCGACUCACGCUUGAGGGGGAGUGCUGUUGUGUGCAAGUGUCUGUUAUAUGUCUCAAAUCGGAUAAAAGAGUAAAGGUUGAACAUCUUAUAAGUUAGAGGACCCAUAAACCCAUAGCCUUAAUACUGUCCUUUUUGCAUAUUUAGCCCCCCCGAAACCAAUUUUAACCAAUUCAACGAUGACGUGGAUGUCACGUGUGUAAUGCUUUAAUUAUUUUAGUUUUAGAUAGAUACAGAGAGAGAGGUGUCAUAUGUCAAAAAAAAAAAAAGAUAGAAAAGAUUUCCUUCCUUGAAUCGUUGAGGUAACUACAAACUAAGACAAUGAUGUUAUUGGUUACUUGUUUCUAAUACCUUUGAAAAAGAUAGUUAGACCAAUGUAUUGGUCAUUAACUCUUUUCAAUGGUUACUACCCUAGUGUCUAAGGUGAGUCAUAACAACGUCAAAGUAAGUACAAUUAUUAUUAAUUUAUGUCUACACCUAAUCAAUAAUUGAAGGUUAAGAUAGGUCAAGCCAACAAAGUUAAGGUUAAGAUAAUCAUUUUCACCUAAAUUGAUUUAUGAACAUAUGUUAAUGAUGACAGUCCGUCAUAUCACAUUUUUAGAGUCUUUUCAAUUAAGUUUUUAUUCUAAUUUUAUUAAUUUAGUACUUAAUUUAGAGUCAUUUUAAAUAAAUUGUCAUUUUCUUAUUAUUGAGUCAACUAGUGUAUUAUUACUAUUAUUAUUGGUCAAUUAGUGGCUAGUAAAGAGAAUGAAACAAAAACAUGGUUUUGUGAUGGAUGUGAUUGGCCAAGAAAAAUGAUAACAAGUUGAACGAAAGAAAAGAAGACCACACAAUGUUGCAUUAGGGUGCAGGAAUCAAAACCAAUAUAAUUGGGCUUUCUUUCAUGGACGUUGAACCAAGAAAAAGAAAAGAAAAGAUAACUUGCUGCAUAAUGUUAAUUUGGAAAGAAAAAUAGGUUUGACAAGCUAUAAAAGGAGACCACGCACAGGAACAAAGCAGACGAUUGGGAAAGAAAGAGCAGCACGCGGUACGAGACAAAAGGAGGAGGAGAAAAGCUCAUGGAAUUUGGAAUAUGCAACAGUACUGAUUAAAUAGAACAAAGCCGGUAGACCAUAAUUCGAUCGGUUUAUUUCUUUUAGUAUGUUGUUUAUUCCUUUAAUAUGUCUAGUUAAUUCCAUUUGAUUGAGUCACGAUGAACCUAUUGUAAUAUAUGAAUCAGUAGUUAAAACUCUUUUUAUUAUCAAUAUUAUUCAGUCUUUAUUCAGAAUUAUCUGUGUUCAUUGCCUUUCAUAUGAUUGUUUGCAUUGUUUGCAUUGUUUGCAUGACUAUUAACCCUAACUUCUUACAAUCACAUAAAUUGAUCUUAGGAAUUGAAUGACUACUAACCCUAACUUUUAAUCCUGAAAUAAUAAUUCUGUUUAAUUCAACAUAGGAACCUAGAGAUAGGAAAUUGAGGAUUAUGACAUAUAACGUUCUAACAUCGCUUCCGCGGUUAUUCAACCAGUUUAAAAGAUUAAAAGGUUAUAACUUAGGAAAUGGUUUUGAGUCAAGAGAUUGAUCAAAACUAAUUAGUUAAUUUGUCGUAAAGAUUGAAUAAGUGUUGAGAGCAAAGAGAGAUAAACUAUUUCACAUAAAACAAUAGAGGAUUUACCGGCUGAUCAUCUGUUUUAAUCCAAUUAUCAAACCAUUUUAUUUUAUGUUAUUUACUUUUUAUUGCACACAAACGUACUGCCUCAUACACUUAUAAAAUUUACACAUCCUAGAUAUUAACUUUAUUGCUAGUUUGAGAUUAACACAGUCCUCGUGGAUACGAACUUAUUUUAUUACUUCGAUAGUUUUAGUACACUUGCUAAAAUAUUUAUGAGUUAACCAAUAAAGAGUAUCAAGAACAACUUUAACCGAAUAAAAUAGAAAAGUAAUUAAAUGAAAUUUAUAGAAUUAUUCAAAGUUACAUAAUCAAACAAUUACGAGGAAGUUCUUAUUUCAUGACCUAACAUAUAUAGUAUUAGCUACUCAUAGAUUUUCUAAACAUAUAUAAAUAGAUAUGAAGAAGAAAGCAUGAGAAAAGGAUCAGCAAGUGAGGAUUAAUUGGCUCCCUAAUGGCCGUGGUCACUCCAAUCCUUCCAAAAUUGUGUUUCUGCCUUCGUCUUCUCGCUAAAAAGUAUUUUCCACUAACUUAGGUUUCAAUAUUUAUAGGUGUGCAUUUCCUUAAGUUUUUGGGAAAUUGGCACACGAUGCGAUCCUAUUCCUCAUGAUGCGAGGAUAACAUAACUAAUCUUGUUGGCCUCACGUUUAUUGUCCCGAUGCAAAGCUCAUGAAGAUUGAUACGAUUCAAGGAAAUGUGAUUUGAUUUAACCAAGCAAAAACCAAGAUCAUAGGAUAACAAUGAUACGAUUCAAAGAAGUGUUAACUUGAUUCACAGUAAUACAAUUCAAAGAAUCAUGAAUCGUUUAAAAAUUUAUGGAAAAUUAGCAGAAACUUUUCAUGAUAAGAUUCAAAAAAGUUUGAAUUGAAUCAAUUGGUUAGAAAAACAUUUUGACCAAGAAAAAUGAAGUUUUCUUUAUACAAACAAAACACAAGACAACAAGGGAUCAUAUGAUUUAUGAGGCAAGAUUUCUAGGUAUGCUUUAACAUGAUAUUAGUCAAUAACAACUAAUAUCUAAACAUCAUCAAAUAAAAACUACCUAAUGAACAUCAUAAAAACACAAACCUAUAACUACACAACUUCAUCCAACUUAUUGGGUGUACCGCAUUAACUAGAUAAUGGUCAUAUCUAUACUAUAUAUAAAGAAAAUAACAUGUUUUUCAAGGUGAGAAAAACACGAGAGGGGGGGGGGGGGGGGGUUGAAUUGUGGUUUCUUUCUCUUCUCCUAAAACCGAAUUCACUAUUCAGAACUUGAUAGAGUUCAGCUUCUGAAGUAGUGUUCAGAGUCUAGUUGCAGCGGAUAAGAAAAGAGAGAGAGAGAGAGAGGCAAGACACAAAGCAACUAUACAGAUUCCUUCCACAAACCGGAACUAGUCAUGUCCCCCUUGCACCUCCAAGAAGAGUUCACUAAAAUCAAUAUUCGAUUACAAUUGCUCAGGGCUCAAAAUAGCAAGAGACUUCAAACUACUCAAGAACAACUACAAGAGAUUUCCUAUGCUCAAGAACAAAAUCAAGAGACUUCCUAUGCUCAAGCACAACUGCAAGAGACUUCAUACAAAUCAGAUAAGACUCUUAAGAUUCUAGAAUUUCUAAAAUAUGAAAGUUGAUAAGAAAUUCUAAGUGAACUUUGAUGUGAAACAUUUUUAGCAGAGUUUUGGCACUUGUAAAAUUGUUGUAAGUCUCUUAGAAAUCUUCAAGUCUUCACUCCUUUAUAUAGAGGUGUGAAAGAGACGUUGUUGAUUUCCAACACAUUAAAAGAGUCGUUAUUGAAGCUUGAUCAAAUUUCAAUUCCAUUCCAAGUAUAGAGGAAUACCAGCGUAGUCACAAUUGUUGUUCUUGUACUAUUGCAGACAGAAAACAGAGUAGUGGAGAAGGUGGUUGUACAAUUGUACUAUUGUCCUUUUCCAAUGUUCUUCAAGGGAUAAGCAUCCAAUGACUUCAAAUUCCUCUUAAUUAGUUGUUGCUCUAGACUUCUAUUCCUUCUGCAAUGAUAGGCAUGAUAAUAACAACUCUUGACAAAUAUUGAAGCUUCCAGUCUUUCAGCUUAUGAUCUUAAACUUCUAACGACGUCAGCUUCUGGUAGUCUCCAGCUUAUGAUAAAAGUGCUUCUGAUGAUGUCAUCUUCAGAACCUCUUUGUCUUCAAAACCUCUUUUCCUUCAGAUGGUUCCUUGCAACUCAAGCUUCCUUUUUUUAAAUUCCAUUGCUCUCAUUUGUUCUUCUAGAACCCAUGCUUCAUUUAAAGACACUCAAAUUUUUGUAUAUGGUCCUGCACACUUGAACAAAUAUUAUCAUAUCCAAUUGAAUUUUUUUAAUACCUUGUUAUCAUCAAAACUUAAAGGGUAAUGUUAAACACAUUUUGUUCCAACAUUUUUGACUCUUUUAGAAUGACUUUUUCUCUUUCCAAAAUUACCAUCAACUUUCAAUACAAAUAACACAUACAACAAGAAUUGUGUUAUUUGAACAUCCAUAUAUGCGACAACUUUUGUGACAACCAAAAUUUUACAAAGAAAAUGAAGUAGUGGCACAAAAACCAAAGCAAUAGAGAGAGAAAGUAAAAAGAUAAUGUGAGUAUGAGAGAGAAAGUUGUCACAAAAGUUGUAAAAAAUAGUUGUUCAAAUAUCAUUUCUCCAUACAACAAAUAGAUGAGAGUAAAUUCAAACAUUAAAAUAAAAUUGUAAUACACACGAUAUGAGUAUAUAUGUCCAGUUUUUUCCUUUAUCAUUUAAAAAAUGUAACAAACAAGAUGAGAAUAUCAGAGAGAUGAGAGAUAGUGACGUGAGACAAGAAAGACCUCUCCGUGGCCCGCCUUUGCUUGAACGGUGGUAACCGCACCAGAAUUUAUCUCCAUUUGAGAGAUACACUAGGGGGUAGGUAUGCAGCCUGGGUGGUAGAAAAUGGGGGGGGGGGGGGGGGGGGUAUGGGUGAUUGGUCUGUAGUUAGGUCACGAAAGAGGAAAGCGACGCAAUCGGAAGAUCGAGGAAGGGACAAGUCAAGGGUUUCAGAGCGACGCGGAGGCACGGUAAGGGUUAGAGGGAUCGCACAUAAUGAUUACGGGUUUGAUGGCAGAGAGGCGCGACAAUCAGCAAGGGCUCUUCAUGAUCAGCAAGGUUUGGGUCGUUAUCAGUUUGGAAACAACGAUUUGGCUUUCGACAGAUGCGGGUCUGAUGCUAUCAUGGGAAAAGGCUUCUUCGACGACAAACAUAACAAUGGUAGUAAAAUUACUUUCUAUUUUGCAAACAUUCCUGAUUAUAUGCCGUUGUUUCGUCUCCGUCAAUACUUUGAAGUGUGUGGUAUUUUGUCUGAUGUCUAUGUUGCCAGACAACUAAAUUCACGUGGUCAGGUCUAUGGCUUCGUUAGAUUUUUGAAUGUGAGGAACAAGGACAAAUUAGCACAAGAUUUGAAUAAUGUAUGGAUUGGUGACUUUAAGGUCUGGGCGCGUGAAGCAAAAUUUGAUAGGUUUGCACAAUAUGAUGAUGAUCAUAGGGUGUCUAUGCAUGGUGAUAGAAGGGAUGAGAAUGGAGGGGAGAGGAGGCCGGUGGUGAGAACUAAUGGUGAUGGAGUAAAAAAUAUGAGGAUGUGUAAUUUUAAAAAAAUAGGAGGGAUAAUAAAAAUAGUUGUUGGUCUCAUUUUAAAAAAAAAUAAAAAAAUUGUUUAUAUAUUUUUGUUAUAUUAUCGGUGUCAAUGAAAUGGAUAAUCAUGGUUAAUUUGAUUUGUUAUAAUUUGAAAGCAACACACAUUUAUAUCUUUAAUUUUAAUCAAAAUCAAAAUGUUAUAAAAAAUACUAUUGCUAAUUUUCAAAUGUUAACACAAUAAAAAGAGCAGAAAGACGGAGUGCCCGUCUUUUCACUAGUUAUAAUAAAAGAAAUUUUAUUUGAUGUAUUGAUAAUGAUACUGAAACUUUUUACACAUACAUCCAAACAUUAUUCAUGACAUCACUUUUAUACAAGUUCUAAAAUAUCGCUGUAACAAAAAGGUUAAAAAACAACUCAUGAAAUAUGUACAUGAUUUAAUUGAAUAUAUGUGUAAAAGAAAUUAUAUAUCAACAUCUAUAAAUUAAAUUUAUUAUUGAAAUGAAAUACUAGUAAAAAUGAUGGCCAGCAUUUAUGAAAAUAAAGGUCUAACUGAUCAUGGGCCAAUUUAAAUCAAAAGUAGAUUUGUGCCCUCUAAAGGGUACUAGAAUAUAAAAGAUGGACGGCAAACAAGGGACACAAAGAAUAGAGAUGCUCAAUUUAAAACACAACUUCGAUUUUUUUUUUAUUUACUAAAAAAUAACUUAGAUUGUUUAGAGAAGAUAGGAAUUCAAUUAGUCUGACAACAUAUUUUGGAAGUACAAUUAGUUUCACAAUUAACUAUUUUGAUAAUCCUCCUUAUUAAAAAAAAAUUAAUAUUCCAUUUCGUCAAAUAAAACAAAAAGUUAGGGAGUGAUGAGAGAUCUUAGUCAAUAUUGUUUUGCACCAUAAUAUUUUUGAGAGAUUGAUUUGGCAUUUACAUGCUUCCAACAAAUACAAUGUAACAAGUGCUUAUAAUUAUAUGAUAUCGUCUCUUAAUAUUGUGACAGCUGAUCACUUAAACACAAUUUGGAACAACGAGGUCCCUCUGAAAGUUAGUCAUUUUACAUGGAGUUUGCUCUGUAGCCGAUUACCAACAACAAAUAAUUUUAUCAGAAGGCACAUUCUUAAUCAUAAUGUUCAACUUUGUGUAGGCUUUUGUGGUAUAAUGUAAGAUAUAGACGAUCUAUUUCUCUCUUGUGAUUUUUUUGAAAUUUUUUAGAUUGGUAUCUAUAAUUGGCUCGGCUUUACUAUGGUACAUCCAGAACAUCCGAAUAACUUUUCAACUCAUAUGGUUAACUUGUGUUUGGGUGAUUUGAUGGGAAAGAAAUGCUUGAAGUUUUCGCAAUCAAGAAGAAUCGUUACAACAUCUUCUUGACAAAAUUAAGCUUCAAUCCUAUUAGUGGUUGAAAGCGAAUAGAAUUUUCGCUCAAUUUUAAUAAAGUGGAUACUAUAUGAGAUUUUCGCUCAAUUUUUUAUGAGUAUGGACUGCACUUGGCGUUAGUCAUUGAACUCAUUUUACGAGACUCAAGUUCCAACUUAAGCCAAAAACUGAAACCAAACAAAUGAAGUAAAAAACUCAAGUUCCAAACUAAUGCGUGAUUUUAGUCAAAACAAUGUUUAUUUUUUGACAGUAGUUAGUUUUGGAUUACAGCUAUAUCCCUACACCCCACAAACUAUACCCCUCUCACCAAUAGACAAAACAAAAGAGUAGGUGGAAGGGUACAUAAUUAAGAAAAAGUUAUGUGAAAAACAAUAUUUUCUAUAGCCAAAACCAAAAGAUAUAUAUUGCAUUAUUGCAUAUAUACCAAUAAAAGAAGUACUGUGAAAUACAAGAUAAUGGCAUUAGAUUAGAAAUGGCCAAUUUGAUCUGUCUAUUUUUAAUCAUAUUAUUUAGAUUUGUUCAAUCUUUUACCAAAUCUUAUUUAGUUAUGCAAAAAGCAACACCUCUCGUUGAAAGAUAAUAAUAACGAUUUUUGGCAUAUGUUACUAAUAUUGAUUGAAAAAUGUUACCAAAUGAUGCAACUUCCCAACUCCAAUCCACUCAUAAUUUCAAACUUCGCUACCAUAUGAAAACAAAAUCACAGGUAGAAAUGUGUUGGAAAUCCUCAACAACUAUUGACUUUUGGUACAAAAGAGUGCCAAGUCAUUACUAAUUCAAGAUUGAGACAUGCAGCUGUGAGUGGAUUCACUAAGAUCACGACUAGUAUAAAAGGAGCUGGUCACACUUGUAUUUUAUGCACCAAAUUAUAAGUCACUAACAUGGCUUCCUCAAACUUUCUAAUGAUGCUCCUCUUUGCUCUCUUUGUCAUCCCUAAGGGGUUUGCCAACUACGAGAAACCUCCAGAGUAUCAUCCACCAGUUGAAAAUCCCCCAUUUUAUAAACCACCGGUAGAGAAACCACCUGUGUAUAAACCACCAAUAGAGCAACCUCCAAUUUAUAAGCCACCUGUAGAAAAUCCUCCAAUUUAUAAACCACCAGUAGAGAAACCACCCGUGUAUAAACCACCGUUUGAGAAACCUCCAAUCUACCAUCCACCAGUAGAGAUACCACCAGUGUACAACCCACCAGUUGAACAUCCUCCAAUUUACAAGCCUCCUGUAUACAAACCACCAGUAGAGCAACCUCCCGUCUAUAAGCCACCAGUAGAGAAGCCUCCAAUUUACAAGCCACCAGUAGAGAAACCUCCUGUUUACCAACCUCCUGUUUACAAGCCCCCAGUUGAGAAACCUCCAGUGUACAAGCCACCUGUAGAAAAGCCACCAGUGUACAAGCCACCUGUAGAAAAGCCACCAGUGUACAAGCCACCUGUAGAAAAGCCUCCUAUAUACAAACCACCAGUAGAGAAACCACCAGUGUACAAACCACCCGUUGAGAAACCCCCGGUUUAUAAGCCACCAGUAGAGAAACCACCUGUGUACAAGCCACCAGUUGAGAAGCCCCCAAUUUACAAGCCACCAGUAGAGAAACCACCUGUAUACAAGCCACCAGUUGAGAAGCCUCCAGCUUACAAGCCACCAGUUGAGAAGCCACCUGUAGAGAAACCACCAGUGUACAAGCCACCGGUUGAGAAGCCCCCAAUUUACAAACCACCAGUUGAGAAGCCUCCAGUGUACAAGCCACCGGUUGAGAAACCACCUGUCUACAAGCCACCUGUAGAAAAUCCACCUGUUUACAAGCCACCAUUUGAGAAACCUCCAAUUUAUAAACCGCCAAUAGAGUAUCCACCCGUGUACAAGCCCCCUUUUGAGAAACCCCCCAUCUACAAGCCACCUGUAGAGAAACCUCCUUUUUACAAGCCUCCGUUUGAGAAUCCACCAUUUUAUAUACCUCCAGUUGAGGAGCCUCCUGUUUACAAGCCUCCAUUCGAGAAGCCACCAAUUUACACUCCUCCAUUCUAGAGCCCACCUUACCACCCAAAGUUCCCUCGGGCAGGCGAUGGUACUCGUUAAUAGAACAUGCUAUGAAGAAAAUAUGUUAAAUAAGAGAUAUAUAGAGUUUUUUAUUUAAUCAAGGAAUAUAUAUAUUCAUGUAAUCUUCAUUUCAAUACUUUGUUUACAAUACUCUUGCUAUGAUAAGAAUAUGAGUGAAAAACAGAGAAAGAAAAUAGUGUGCUUUUCUAUUCGAAAUUAUGAAUAAGAUUUCUAUGAUUUAGAUGUUGUGUUGGUUGACUAAAUCGUGAUACAUCGACAGAGGCAGAGCCCCUCAUGCGCCAAGGUGGGUCAUGGCCCACCCCCAAAUUUUGUUUCUUAUUAUAUAUAUAUUAUGUUUUGUAAAUUUUUGAUGUUUUUGUAGCAUGUUGUAGUGGUUAAGAGCCUUUUUGCCAAGUCGUAUGUGCUAGGUUCAACUCUUGCCAAAACCAUUUUUAUUUAUUCUUUUAUUUUCUUUUGUAUAAAAAAAAAACAUAAUUCAUAAUUGUUAAAAUAAUCCUUUUUUUUGUUACUUAAUCCUUUCUUUCUUUAAUAAAACAUAACUCCUUUAUUCGAUUUAAAAUAAUCUUUCCUUUCCUUACUCUUAUUUUUGGAUACAAUUGUCUCUUUACUCUUUUAUUUUAAUUUUUUUUUUAUACAAAGGGGACUUCAACUCUUUUUUGUCAAAAAACAUUCUCUUUUAAAACAUAUAACAUAUUUUUUAUACUUAGUCGUUUGAUUCAAUUCGAUUUUAUACCUAUACAUCUGUUUAUUGAAGUCGAGUCAUUUAAUUCAGUCGUUAGGUUCAAUGGCCUAGUUGUUCGAUCAAUUAUCUUGAACUUUAUCAAGGUUGAUAAACAGUUCAUAUUUUAAAAUACCGGUUUAAAUUAUAUUCAACAAAUAACAAAUUUAUAGUCAUUGGAACCAACCAAUAAUAAAAUGUACUUGUAAGAAAAUAAAGCCUCAUCACUAUUUAUGGCCCACCCUAUACUUUUUUCCUAGCUCCGCCACUUUACAUCUUCGUAUUCUUUAGGAAGUUUCAACCUUGUUGACUAUGACAACAGUGACGACUAUAACGAGACUCGCUAUUGACUAUGACAACAGUGACGACUAUAACGAGACUCCCUACUUUUUGGUUUGCUUCAACAGGUUCUCAACAUAAAUAACUAACCAAGUUAAUUUGCCUGUGAAAUGUGAUAUUAGUAAGGUGCAUGAAGGUUAAGUUCUUUAGCAAAGCUUAGUAUCUUGAAUUAAAGAAUAUCGUUAAUUAAACUAAAUAUUCAUAUUAGGUAUCACAAUUUUCAAGACUUUAUAUGUACGUGUUGAUCCAUUAAUUAAGAGAAAUUAGACUUUAGACCCGUGCGUCGCACGGGUCAUUUCGACUAAUAUAUAAUAAUAAGUAAUGGUAAAAAAAAUUCUAAAAUAAAUAAAAGAUGAAGAGUAUUAUACAUUUUACUUACUCAAGUUCAAAAAAUAAAGUAGGAGAUGACAUGAAAUCGUUUAGUUGAAACAAACGAAUAUUAAAAAAUAAAAAUUAGACAACGACAGGGAUCUAAAAUUCUAUUUCUAAUCCUUCACAUAUCAAAAUUACAAUUGGUUCUCUUCAUUGUAAUCAUCUAAACUUAAUUAAAAAAUUUACAAGUGCAAAUAGAAUCGACAUUAUACAAGUCACUACUUGAUUCCAAAAACCUAUGUUUCAUGAAAACCACUCAUACCUAAAUAACAAUAAUAAACCUUCAAAACAAAAAUCAACUAUUCUCAAAGGACCCAAAAGAAAGAUUUUUAGCCUUCUAAAUCACAAUUUCUCUUGUUGUAUUGUUUUUGUGUCAAAAGCACCAUAAGUUGAAUAGUAGGCUCAGACACAUGACUUUCCUCAUAAGACAAAAUCACCAGUUUUUUAUAGGUUGAAAAAAUAAAUCAAAUAUCCUUAACUUUCAAUAACGCUUAGAAACAACUGAAACUUUUGCAUUAUCUCAAUCCACAAACAAAAUUGAAGACCUUUAUAUUUGCUUUAGGCACCUUAAGGAAUUCUAUGUAAAUUGUUUUCCUGCAAUGAAAUGCUAAACACAAUGAGCAAAGAAGAAGAAUUAACAACAAUAUUUGGAUUGUUUUAUUUAGCUUACAAUUCUUUAAACUAAUCAANAACACAAUGAGCAAAGAAGAAGAAUUAACAACAAUAUUUGGAUUGUUUUAUUUAGCUUACAAUUCUUUAAACUAAUCAACAAAAAAUUAAAUUUGCAUUAUAUCCUCCACAAUAUCAAGAAUUUUUCAAAGGGAUCAUUCUAUUUGUAUGGCUAUGAUGAGAACUCAUGUGUGUCCAUGAAGACCAGCUCUACGGAUAACCAUGUUCAUAUUAACUAUUUUAGGAGUGAAAAUAGGAUUGGAUUGGAUUUAGUAGUGAGCUGUUGUUUUUGAUUUCAGAAGCAUUUGAAAAUAACAUUUUGAUUAAAUGGAAAUAAUAGGAAGAAUUUGUUAAUAAAAGUGAUUUUUUUUUUUUUUUUUAUGUUGAUCUUUUUAUUGUUGUGUUAGAAACAAAAUAGGACGAAAUUGUAUUUUUUUUUUUAUGUUUAUCUUUUUAUUGUUGUGUUGGAAACAAAAUAGGAGGAAAUUGUUAUAGGAAUAGGAGGAACGAUUUUUAAAGUUUAUCUCUUAAUUAAACAGGUUUAAUUGAACACGGGGGUAAUAACGUAAAAGUCAUCAUAAAAUCUAGGUUAAAAUUAGGUUAAAAAUUGGCUUACGGGUUAACUUUUAUAUAUAAAGAAGUCAAGAGAAUCUAGAUCUGUGAAGCCCCGAUACUUCAAAAUGGAUGAUGUAUCGUAUCCGCUGCGUAUUCUGUAUCGAUACCUGCCCGAUACUUCUCAAAUUUAUGAGUUUUAUUUGAUUCUUCGAAUUCGAAUUUUGAGAAUUUUAGGGUUUGAAGGUUGGUGAUGGAGGUGAAUCUGAGUUUAUAUUAAGAAUUGAUGAAGAAUUUAAGGAGAGUGCAGUGAUGGAUAGGUAACUGAGUAUGAAUUGGUAUGCAGUUUGGAAAAACAAAACAAGAGGCAGUAGCAGCACCCCCACCCUUCCUCUACUUCUUCGACAAUAUGAGUGUUAGAUUCAUUUUCCUAGGUGUGAUUUUGAGGCAGAUGAAUAUGUGUGAGAGAUUGUAGAGGAAGAUCUCAGAUAUAGCUUUUAGGGAUGAACAUGAAUGAAUGAAUUUGUAGAUGAAGAUGAAUGUUGUUUGAACAUUUAAUUAAGAAAUUUUUAAUUGUUUUUUGUUUUAAUAUUUGAAAUUAUUAAAUUGUAUUUUGAAAUUCAAAAAACCUGUUUUAAUGACAUGUAAAUGACAUUUUCCAAAUUGGCAAUGCCACAUAGGCAAAAUUUUACCACCUGUGCAUUUUUGGAUGUGAAAAUAGGGGGUAAGACUAAAACUGCAACAAAAAUGAUAAUUGAAAAACAAUUUUAAUCUGUUUUAAAAGGGCAGGACCAAUUUCCUGAGUAGGCCACAACACGAGGACCAAAAGUGUAAUUAAGCCUUAUAUUUAUGUUGAUGUGCUACAAGCUUAUGACUGGUUUCUUUUGUUUGAUAAUAUAUUUGCAUAUUAAAUAAAAUGGUUAUAAUUAUAUUCUACAUUUAAUUAUAUAAUUUUUUUAUUGACGUAUCCCAACCAUAUCGUAUCUUGAUUUUUGAAAUUUUUUCGUAUUGACGUAUCGGUGCAGUAUCGUAUCUCGUAUUCGGGCUUCAUAGAUCUAGACUAUUAAUUUUUUUGAUAAACAAGAUUAUUAUUAUUUUUUGACAAAAACAAAGUGAGAUUCAUUCAUUCAAAUUGAUAGAGUACAUCAGAUACAAACAUUGCUAAAAACGUAAAGGAUAAAUCUAUGAACAAACUCACAACACUAAAGUUCAUACAACAGCAAAAUGUCUACAAAUAAUAUGAUAAAAUCUAAGUCACCAAAAUAUUCAUGCUUCCGGGUAUGCAACGUUGGCGCCCAAAUCAUUGAUUGAAUUUGUAAUUGACUAAUGUCGAUCUUUCAACAUGAACUAAACGAACACCGCGUCAAGACGCGAAAUCAAACAUCACAUAAGACCACUAACAACACAAUGCCACAAUUAGAUGACGAAAUCACAAAAACUCAAAAGGGAAAACUUGAUAUAUGUGAAAACCAUUUGUUUAGAUCGAAAGAAAAGAGAAAAAACGAUGUAGAGGGGUGAUUUUAGGUCAAAAAUGACCUAAAACCAGUUCUUUUUAAUAAACGAAGGAGAAAGAAUGUUUAGAGAGAAGUUGGAGUUUUUUUUUACUUAAAAAAUUAGGAUAAGCAAAAUUAUUAUAGAGGGAUAAAGGGCUCCCCAACCCAUAUACAAAAUGAUGGUUGCAAUGCCAUGUAGAAAAUAAAAAGAUAACAUUGCCUUUCUUUUUACAAUUAAACUAGUUACAAACCCGUGCGUUGCACGGGUUUAAUAACGUAUUUUAUAAAAAAAAAAUCUUUUAAAAGAAAAAUGAGCAAAUUAAUGAAUAUUGCACAAACAUUAUAAAUCUUUAUCAAAAUAUUUAUGAAAGCUUUAUCAAGUCUUUAAUACACAUUAAUAUUUGUGAUGAUUGAUAAAAGAAUUAAAAAGAGUAAAGGGUAUAGAAAUAAAUUUAUUAAAGAAUUAACAAUUUGUUUAAACUUAUUUUUGUUACAAUUUAGACCAAAAAAAAUAUUGGACUUCAUUGAGUUUCUCUAUAAUUUUUUUAUCAGGCUUGAAGUUAUGACUCUGAGUUUGAAAACCGCAAAAUUCACAAAAAUUAUUGAAGAAACACUAUAAACAAAUAAACGGCAUCGUCAAAAAUGAAAUCAUAUUUGGCUAUAGUGAUCAAGCAAACAAAAAAAAAGAAGCAUAUUAAAUACCUAUAAUCAAUGGAUUCUAAUUGCAUAGAGGCGACACUUAUACUUUCUCUAUGUUUGUUCAUCAAUGAGAGUGAUUAUUUUGCGCUUUCCUUUCAGAAUUGUUCUUGACACCUAGUUUGGGAAAUGCUAAACAGGGAAAUAACUGUAAUAUUAAUCUAAUGCAUAUUAACAUGGAUAAGAUGUAUGCGAAUAUAGUUAUAUAUAACUUAUGAAAUGAAGGUAACAUAACUGAUUUUAAGCUAAAGAAAAUGUACCAUGACUUCUAAUUUAUCUUUCUAUUAUCUUCCUAUAAAGUCUAGAGAAAUGCAUGCAUGUGCAUUAUAUGUACCCCGUUGACCAAUUAACAUUUUUGAAACAAAUGAAAAUUAAGCAUCACUCCCGCAUGUGCAUCUAUAGCUAACACCAUUUGACAUUGAUGUCUUCGAACAUUUGGUGCAACUCUCAUAAUACCAUCCAAACUGGUUAGGAUUGAAUUUAGUUGUUUUUCCAAAUAGUGAUGGAGUAUGUAUCCUAACACAAAUUAUGCACGUGAAAUAAAGAAUAGUGCAAUAUGCAUUUUUAAUUUGUGCGUAAAAAAAUUCAAAGCAUGUUUGUGAAAAAAAAAAAAAAAAACAGACCUUGACUAAGUUUAUAGAUUCAUCAAUUGGCCUAACUUGAGACAGAUUGGAAAAAUCGUUCUACGAAGUACUUUUUAAACUUUACUUUUUAAUCUAUCUGAGCUUGAGAAGUGUUAAGUUCACGACAACAAUUCAAGAAACAUGGUCAAUAAACAAUCAAAUCAGAUUGUGAAAUAAUAAGUUACUCUAACACUGUAUUGUGAAAUCAUAAUGCAAACUUACUAAGUCUUAAACUUUUCAACAACCGGAUGAUGUAGGUUGAUGAGCAGCCUCGAACCUGACCAAUUGUUACAUCUAUUUGCGUUGUCAUUGACUACAAAAUAGAAGCAAAGAAUUCAAGGUAAAUAAAUGGUAAAUGAUAAAGCUACAAAGUAUUUUACCCAUAAUGUUACAUCAACUAUAUUCCCAAUGCUCUAAAUCUCUAUAUCGAGUUAUUACAUGAACUCGAUCACCCUAAAUCCGAGAAAGAAACCAAAAAAUAUAAAUAAAUCAAAAUGUAUACUAAUAAGUAACAUUGAUAAAUCAUAAAAGAAAUUACUACAAAUCUUAACUAACUUAUCUAACCUUUGCAUCACAAAUAAUGAGCUUCAUAUGUUGAUUCUCAUUACUACCAGUCACAAUUCAAGAAUCCAGUACUCCAAAUCCUAUUUUCCAAACGUCUAAAUCAUUUUUGAGAUACUUAAUGUAGUCAUAAUCCCUUGACAUUGAAAUUCAUAUAUAGAAAUACAAUAAUACAUCAUUUAAUUUUAUUCCCUUUGUUCAUUCUGAUAUCGAAAGAAGCUAACAUAUUUCUAUGUGAUCAAUUUUUGUAUCAUCAAAUUAACCUGAUCUUAAAUGUACAAAUUUCUAUCAUCAACUUUCUGGACCCCAAUGAUAUGAUCAAAACAAAUUUACACCAAUCAACUUUUUGCACGGCUCAAUGAUAUACGAAAGAAUAAAUAAAAUAUGAAAACUGUUACAGCUUUAGGAUUACUCACAAAAACUAAAAUAAUUGAAAUGCAUCAAUUAUUUUCAACUCCUGUACCAGAAGCUAAAAUAACAAUUGUGUCAAAACCUUACCAUCAGUUAAAAUUCAGUCAUCAUGACCUCUACUAUACUCCACAUAACAAAAGACGAUUUUUCUACAGCCAUGCAACAUAACAAAUUUUGGUACAUAAUCCAAUAACAAUUGGAAAAAAAAAAAAAAAACCCUUAAAAUGCAUAAUCAUGAAAAAAGGAAGAAAACCAUCUAUGAUGAAGCAAAAACUAAAACGGUGUCGAAAAAUGAAGCCCUUAAGCCAUAAAAAUCAGUCAACUCAAGUCAUGCAUGGUCUCAGAACCAUGAAAAAAGAUAGAAAAUGACCUUUUUUUUUUUUGUGGUGGCCGGGGUUUGAACUCCGGACCUUGCAUAUUUUAUGCAUUGUCCUACCAACUAAGCUAAGCUCACGAGGACGAAGAAAAUGACCUCUUAUGAAGAAGAAAGUGAAACAGUGUUCCCGACUGAACUUAGAUACCGUUUGGUCAAGGUUUUUUACAUUAUAAAAGUUACUUCAAAACAAAGUAAAAAUAAAGGCCUUUAUGAAAGAAACUAAAGUUAUUUGGUUUUUUUGUUUUGUUAGUUUUAAAGCUAUUUAAGUUUAAUGUUGUUUGGCAAAAUAUUGUACAAACUUUGAAUUUAUUAUUUUUUAUAUGGUGUCUGGGGUUCGAACUCCGGACUUGGCAUGUAUUUAUGCAUUGUUCCUAUCAACUGAGCUAAACUCAUGAGGACAAAACUUUGAAUUUAUUAUUAAUUAACAUAAUAAAUAAAUAAAAUGUUUAGAAUAAUUUAUGAAGGCUAAAAAUGUUAAAAAAAUAAAAGAUAUUUUUUUUACAAAUACGAUAUUUACUCAAUAACGUUUAUUUUGUGUAACAUGAAUACAAAUUAAUAUCAUCAUAUAAAUAACUUGUUAAAUAUUUGAAUAGGAGAAACAAUUUAAGGAGUCUGGAAUAAUAAUAUAAAUAAUAUCAAAAUAUUUGAUUUUUUCUAUUUCAAUUAUACUCUAUAACAAAUUUCGUUAUAAGAAUACCAUAUUUUUUGUGUCUUUCAAAAAGAUAAGAAUUUAUAUUAUAUGAUAUUAUAUUUGUUACAUUGUUGGUGUCAUGGAAACAGAUAUGUUUAAUUUUUUUGAACAUGAAAAUGAUAUGCAUAGUUUGUUACGAUAUAAAGGUGCAAUAUAUAUAUAUAUAUACACCUUUUUAGGCAUCUAUACCUUUUUUUGAAGAAAAGACAUCUACAAUUUUACUUUUAAUUAAAAUUUAAAUUUUAUAAAAAUAAUCAUACGCAUUAUGCAACGCUAAAAAAAAUUAUACACAUUAGCGUAACAAAAAAACAGACACACAUAAAGAAUUACUCUAAACGCUAAUGUGUAUGUGCGUAUAUAUUUGCGAGGUUGAAGAAAGAAAAUACAAAUAUUUGAUAUCAUUAAAUGACAGCGUGAAUAAAAAUAUUUGUGAAGUUGUGAUGAUUAAACGAUAUUGAAAUUAUAAGUGAUAAAAAGAUAAUAAAAUUCCUUUGAAAAAAAGGUAAUAAAAUUAAAUGGAACCUCCUUAAAAAAAAUUAAAUUGAACGCUUCAAAUUAAAUGGAAGAAAAAAAUAUAUUGAAGUAUAAUAUUAAAAAAUAAAAAAAAAGGUUCCCAACGUGAAUUGAAGAGAGAUGCUUGUGAAAUAAAUUGUCGAGAAGUAGUUUUUUGAAGAAGCAUUCAACAACUUUUGGUCAAAGUUCAUUGCAUUCAAUUUUAUGCAUUAAAAAAGGUACAUUUUUUAGAAAGUACUUAAUUGAUAUUGUAUUUGACCUAACUUCUCCUUAAAAAUAUAGGGAAGUUGAAAAAAAAAACCGGGUCAAACGGUAUCUUAAUUUCCCACAACGGCAGUGUAGAAACAACUGAAUUUGGGAGAAAAAAAUUGGAAAAUAGUUAAAAAUAAAAAAAAUUGAAAAAUAGUUAAAAAAAAUCGGUGAGGUAGCACCUAACCAAACAACACUAAAAAAAAUUAUAUGCAUCAGCGUAACAAAAAAACAGACAGACGGACAUAAAAUAUUACUCUAAACGUUAAUGUGUGUGUAUAUAUUCGCGAGGUUGAAGAAAGGAAAUAAAAAUAUUUGGUAUCAUUAAAUGACAGCGUGAAUAAAAAUAUUUGUGAGGUUGUGAUGAUUAAACAAUAUUGAAAUUAAAAUAAUUAAUAUUGUGUUUGACCCAACUUCUCCUUAAAAAUUUAGAGAAGUUGGAAAAAAGUCGGGUCAAGCGAUACCUUAAUCUCCCACAACGGUAAUGUAGAAGCCACUGAAUUUGGGAGAAAAAAUUGGAAAAUAGUUAAAACUAAAAAAUAAAAAAAUCGGUGAGGUAGCACCCAACCAAGCAACACCAAAAAAAAAUUAUAUGCAUUAUCGUAACAAAAAAAUAGACAAACAGACAUAUAAUAUUACUCGAAACAUUAAUGUGUGUGUAUAUUCGCGAGGUUGAAGAAAGGAAAUAAAAAUAUUUGAUAUCAUUAAAUGACAACGUGAAUAAAUAUAUCUGUGAGGUUGUGAUGAUUAAAUAAUAUUUAAAUUAAAAUAAUUGAUAUUGUGUUUGACCUAACUUCUCCUUAAAAAUGUAGAGAAUUUGGAAAAAAGCCGGGUCAAACGAUACCUUAGUCUCCCACAACGGCAAUGUAGAAGCAACUGAAUUUGGGAGAAAAAAUUGAAAAAUAGUUAAAAACAUAAAAAUUGGAAAAUAGUUAAAAGUUAUUAAAAAUUAGAAAAUAAUUUAAAAAAUUGGUGAGGGGCAAAAUGGGAAAUUUGGCAUAAAAAAGAUGAGGUGGCACCAAACCAAACCCACCAAUUAGAAAAUUACUUAAAUGCCCAUUCCAGGGACAAAAUGGGAAUUUCAUAUGGCAUCAAUUUUAAUAGAGUAUAUAGACCACUCACAUUACACAAAUGUUGAAAUAUAUGAUGCAUAUUACUUUUUAAAUUUUUGGUUUAUAGUUGCAUUUUUUUUAGGGUUAAUAGUGUUUUUCACCCUUGUAAUAUAUGUCAUUUUCGGUUUUCGACCCUAUAAAAUUUUUAGUUUUAUUUUAACCCUCGUAAAAUUUUUAUUUUCCGGAAAAGACCCUUAAUAGGCCAUUCAAAAACCAAAAUUUCUUGAAAAAAAUUCUGAAAAUGGCCUAUUAGGGGUCUUUUCCGGAAAAUAAAAAUUAUACGAGGGACCACCUGUUGAGAAACCACCUGUACACAAGCCACCAGUUGAGAAGCUACCUGUUUACAAGCCACCUGUAGAGAAACCUCCGGUGUACAAGCCACCUGUUGAGAAGCCCCCAGUUUACAAACCUCCAGUAGAGAAGCCUCUAGUGCACAAGCCACCAGUUGAUAAACCACCUGUACACAAGCCACCAGUUGAGAAGCUACCUGUUUACAAGCCACCUGUAGAGAAACCUCCGGUGUACAAGCCACCAGUUGAGAAGCCCCCAGUUCACAAAC